GCGAGUUGGUGAGCGGGCGGGCUGCCCGAGCACGGGCUGUGGCUCCGGACAGCUGCUGGCCGGCACGGCUCGGCACCGUGUCUGAUUGCCGUGCCGUCACGCACCGCCGCUGCUCCGCGUCCCGCAAACGGGAGCGUCUGCUACUGCAUCAAUGGGAUCAGUUGUGCUGUGGGAAGCGUGUGCUGAGCUUAGGAUUCAUUUCUAAUUGGAAGCAGGGUUGUAACGCGGUGCUAAGCAGGUUUUGUUUCUCGUUUCCGUAAUCUCUCUCGACAACACAACGUGUGCAAUGGUAGAGCUUCCAUUUCUGCAGAACCGUAGCGGAGAAUUUCAAGAGCAGUGUUUAAAACCUGAUUGGACCUAUCCCAUGAGGAGAGAGAUGCAGGAAAUUUUACCUGGGUUAUUUUUAGGCCCAUACUCUUCAGCUAUGAAAAGCAAGCUACCUAUACUUCAGAAGCAUGGAAUAACCCAUGUAAUAUGCAUACGGCAAAACAUCGAAGCCAAUUUUAUCAAACCAAACUUCCAGCAGCUAUUUAGGUAUUUAGUCCUGGAUAUUGCAGAUAAUCCAGUUGAGAAUAUAAUACGAUUUUUCCCUAUGACUAAAGAAUUUAUUGAUGGAAGUUUACAAAGUGGAGGAAAAGUUCUAGUCCAUGGAAACGCAGGGAUUUCUAGAAGUGCUGCCUUAGUUAUUGCAUACAUAAUGGAAACAUUUGGGGUGAAGUACAGGGAUGCGUUUACUUACGUUCAAGAAAGAAGGUUCUGUAUUAAUCCUAAUGCUGGAUUUGUCCAUCAACUUCAGGAAUACGAAGCCAUCUAUCUAGCAAAACUGACCAUCCAGAUGAUGUCACCGCUGCAACUGGAGAGAUCCCUCUCUGUUCCGCCUGGCACUACAGGAAGUUUAAAGCGAAUGCAUGAAGAGGACGAAGAACUUGGAACCAUGCAAGUGGCAGCAGCACAGAAUGGAUGAGGACAGCACUGUUUGCAUUGUGAACUCCUGCUGAGAAAGUUCCCCAGAAGCUUUGCUGAGGGACAGUCCCUCCAGAGCAAGCCUGAACUUCUUAGCCUGUGUCAAGGCUACUUAGAGACCUGUUACAAAUAGCAGACUCUGCCUUGAAAACUACUGCCUGGAUUAAAGCAUGCUGCUAGAACAGAUGCUGGUGACAGCUGUGGAAAUCUUCCUGCAGGGGAGCUGGGUGAAGGAAGGAGCUAGAGGUGGCAUACCGUGCGUGGAGAACUACCAACCAAGCACUGAAGGCUUAAGGAGCAGCUAACAUUGAGCUUUAGAGAAGCUGGUGGUGAAGUCCAGGCUAUUGGAAAGCAUCUCCCUGUUUGAUUUCUGACAUCAUCCGUGGUUCCUUUGUUCUCCAAGGAGGCCUCGUCCCUCCUUUGGAGCCUGCGCUGCUGUAGAUACAGAAGUUCUAUCAGUUCAAUGACACAGUGUAUUUGAAUAUCUCCUGCUUCUGUUGCUGUUAGUGGCAAUUGCCAGAUCCUGUGAACUGACAGAUUAAAAUGCACGUGCCUGCAUGUACCAUGUAUUCUUCCAGCUGGCUGAAACUGCAGUGACAUUUGUAUGUCACGAGCCAGACUGUUAUCACCUCUCAGAGCAUCUGCCAGCACUUAACAGAGCCAUUCCCUACCCUGCAGGGUUGGUGGUGUGCUUCAUCAUUUGUUGAAGUCUCAUUUCUGCCCUACAGCUCUCACGCUUUUCCUCCAGAGGGAUUCCUGACAGUUCAGCAGUUAAACAGCACCUUUUCUCACAGCACAGCUCUUCUGUACCUCCUACCAUCCCCAAGAGGUUAGGCUGCCAAGGUUGGGAAUGUCAUCUCUAGUAGAGAGCAGAGGGCUCUUCCAUGUUAAAGCAGGAUUCCUCCCAGCAGAACA